UGAUUGGUGGACGAUGGGAGACGUAGCUGCCCACCCCGCACGAAACGACUUUUCCUCCCCACUCACAUCUCCUCCCUCUCUCCCUCGCUUGCACGGGCACACACAGGCAACCGCUCGAGCCUCGAGGAGAGCAGCAGCGACUCGAUGCGGCCGCCGGAGGAGCAGCGGUAGCCUACGUGCUCGUGGUAGAAGCGACCCGCAAUGGAGGAGCUGCAGUGGCCGAUGGCAGCGGACCAGAUCGGCGCAUCACGAGAGCGGACACGGUCACGGGCAGAGCAGAGCCAAGUCGGCGCGGCGACCGGGCGCAAUCUGGAGAACCGGUGGGCGGUGGUGCGCGGUCUGGGCGGGCGCGACGUGCACGAGUUGGCGGCGAGGUGACGGCGUUGACCAGGAUGCCGUCGCAGAUCCUCGUCAUGCCGUCGGGAGAGGAGCUCGUUGAGGAUUCCCGCUUCUCCACGGAUCCACGACGGAGCGAGGUGCUCGAGGAGAAACUUCUUCUCGGGAUGCCAUGGAAAUCGGCAAGUGACUCCAUUUGCCCAUCAGAGAACCAGUGGGUUGAGGCCCUCUUUUAUGCACGACUCCUAUUAAGGCCGGUGUUAUUUUCCGCGAGCCUUCCUCCAUAUGACCUCAGAACAUUUUAACAUAUGCUGAAUAAUGAGGUAUCAUUUUUGGCAGUUCCAAUAUGCAAACUACACGACCGCUGACUAUGCAAAGACCGGAAAAAGGGUCCUUGAGGCUUCAGAUAAUUAAUCAGACGAGUGAUAUCAUUCACACUAUUUUCUGGAGGCCUCUCAAAUCUCACAGUGACAUGGACAAGUGGAUAUAGUACCAAGGAGGCUGCACCGUUUGUUGAAUGGGGCAUACAAGGGCAAAUUCAAAUCCUUUCUCCUGCAAGGCACCCUCAUGUUCAGUCACGACACUAUGUGUGGUGCUAGAACAUGCUUCCAUUUGCCUGACUCGUAUAGCAGAAGCGUUUGCUUCUCCGAAGAAACUGGAUCAAUUGUGCAAUAUGGAUAGGUUGCACAAGCUGCAAGCUUAAUAUGCUUCCAUUUCACUUUUUGUUGCUACUGUAUUAUUUACGCAUAUUUGCUGUUCUGUCAAUAUGUGCAAGUGGGUCUGCAUUGGCAGCUAAAACACCCCUCCUCCAUGGAAUUAGCGGCACACUUAAAGAUAUCCUUUCAGGUUCUGGUUUGGUUGCUGGUACAACUGUAUCCCCCACUAGGUCAGCUGAUCAGGUGUUGCACAUUUCCACCAUUGAUUGAUUUUCAUCAUCAAUCUGCGAAGAACUAAUAGGUGGCACAUCUCUAUACUAGGGUCCCUCGCCGCGCCGUGGAUACGGUGACCUCGUCGGAGCAGUGUGCGGACGAGCCACAAGCCGACGUAGACAGUUGCUCCUGUCACGCACACCGGCUGGUUCUGCUCUAGCGAGCCGCCGGCGUCGUUGCCCAUCUUGAUCUCCCCCUGCGACUCCUUCAAGCGAGGGUGCUGGACGCUGAGGACCGGAGAGGAAUCGGUGGAACUGUCAGUCCGUCCACGAUCUAAAGAUGUACUUCUGCACAUCGUAAAAUAGCUAAGUUGCAGGUUGUUAGGAGUACUGUGCUACAGUUCCACUUAUAUGGAAAGAGACCAGAUUCAUUACCGAAAAA